GAUGAACGCUGACAGAAUGCUUAACACAUGCAAGUCUAUGAGAAGAUCUACUUCGGUAGAAGGUAUCAUGGCGGACGGGUGAGUAACGCGUAAAGAACUUGCCUCUUAGACUGGGAUAACAGAUGGAAACGUCUGAUAAGACUAGAUAUAAUAGCGACAUGGCAUCAUGUUGUUAUGAAAGGCAACACUAAGAGAGAGCUUUGCGUCCUAUUAGUUAGUUGGUGAGGUAAUGGCUCACCAAGACGAUGAUAGGUAGCCGGCCUGAGAGGGUGAACGGCCACAAGGGGACUGAGAUACGGCCCUUACUCUUACGGGAGGCAGCAGUGGGGAAUAUUGGACAAUGGAGGAAACUCUGAUCCAGCAAUUCUGUGUGCACGAUGAAGGUUUUCGGAUCGUAAAGUGCUUUCAGUAGGGAAGAAGAAAGUGACGGUACCUACAGAAGAAGCGACGGCUAAAUACGUGCCAGCAGCCGCGUAAA
rnacentral:rRNA from 1 species